rfam:Trichococcus sp. R210 isolate Trichococcus_R210 genome assembly, contig: TR210DRAFT_scaffold-13
CCACGGCUACAACCGCACGAACGGGAGUCUUAAGAUCCGCAAGGGCACUUCGUUUGGCGAGUCUAAGUAAAAUA